GUACGUCUACCAUCUGUCACCACACACAGUGACAACUUUUUGUGUAGCGAUGCCAGUUACAAAUCUUCUUUUACUUUUAUGAUGAAGGAUGGGUGUGGGAAUUAAGAAAUGUCUAAAGUGAGUGCCUCCAGCUUUGGACACACCAAACGUGAAAACAAGCUGGCCGCCUGAGGGUCACCCCGCACCACACAUCU